rnacentral:rRNA from 1 species
UAACGUAGCGAAAGUUACGCUAAUACCGCAUAUUCUGUGAGCAGGAAAGCAGGGGAUCGCAAGACCUUGCGCGUUUAGGAGUGGCCGAUAUCGGAUUAGCUAGUUGGUGAGGUAAAGGCUCACCAAGGCGACGAUCCGUAGCGGGUCUGAGAGGAUGAUCCGCCACACUGGGACUGAGACACGGCCCAGACUCCUACGGGAGGCAGCAGUGGGGAAUUUUGGACAAUGGGCGCAAGCCUGAUCCAGCCAUGCCGCGUGAGUGAAGAAGGCCUUCGGGUUGUAAAGCUCUUUCGGCGGGGAAGAAAUGGCGCUUUCUAAUACAGGGCGUUGAUGACGGUACCCGCAUAAGAAGCACCGGCUAACUACGUGCCAGCAGCCGCGGUAAUACGUAGGGUGCGAGCGUUAAUCGGAAUUACUGGGCG